GGGCAGGCCCCGCUGAGGCGCCUCCGCAGGGGCUUCGCUCCAAGAUCCCCCCCACCCCGCUUUGUUUUCCUACUGUCUGUUUCCUCGCCGCUCUCCCAAAUCAGCUUUGUUCUCACUUCGUGCUUUGUCUCCUGGAUUUGAAUGGAUGUUCCCUGGGAGCGGGGAUUUUUGUCUCUCUUCUUUGUCGGUGUCUACAACAUCUUCACCGGCCUUCGGGAGUAGGCACUGCUCAGGAGUGUGAAGGGGGGCGCUGUGCUCAUCUGUGGAUCGAUCAGUGGAUGCGGUCAGAGCCCGGUGUAGUGUCAGGAGGUAGGGACUGUUCAGAAGGGGCAGUCACUGGGGCCGUGACCCGGAAGUGUUUCCCUCCCUCCCGGCUCCUCCCUUCUCUCUCUGCUUCUUGGCCACCAAGCUGUGAGCAGCUCUCCGCCUCCAGGCCCUUCCACCGCACCCUUCCUGCCUUCGAGCCAACUGAUCAUGGACUGGAACCUGUAGAAAUCGUGAGUCCACGUAAACCUGUCCUCCUUUAGGUUGUGGGUGUCGGAUAUUCAGUCCCAGUGACUGAGAAGUGGCCAAUCCUGUGGUCCAUACACAUUGGUGUGUCGGGCUGGGGAUAGAGGCGUGAGCGAUGUGCCACAGGGGUGUGCACACGCACUGAGUGUGUCUGUCUGUGUGCCCGAGGCUGAUUGAGCACGCAUGCUCAUGCGUGCACACACGUGUCUGUGCACGAGUCCUGUGUGUGCUCACCUGGGUGUAUCAGGUGGAGUUGUAUCUGAGGCCAUGGAUGUAGUGAUCCUUAAUUGUGAUGUGUGAACUCGAUGUGAGUAGAAACCACCUGGCAGAUUAGCAAAGCUCUGGGUGUGUCUGUGAGUGGUUGAUGAGGACGGAAGACACACCCAGGAUCUGGGCGGCACCAACCAAUAGGCUUGUAGCCUGCAUGGACUAAAAAGGGAAAGGAGGAGCAGUUCUGGUCUUAAAGCCUGUCUGUGGACGCUGGUCUCCCGUUCGCCGGGCUUCCAGCAUGGAUGCUUCAGCUUUCGACACACUCUCACCGUGACUCUGCAGUGAUCCUCCAGACCUUCAGGCUCCGUCCGCCGCUGGAUCCCUGCGCACACGGGUGACCAUUUCGGCAUCCUCCUCCUCGCAUGGCCGCUGGGACUCUUCCGGUUUGAUCCCGACAGCCUGCCUCACAAAUCCCGUCUCUAAGCACGCACGUUUUCUGUCGAAUCUGUUCCUCUGGAGAACCCCUAACUCAUACAGAUGUUCGUGUAUGUGUGCGUAUUUGCUCAGGUGUGCAGGAGCUGGGACCACAAUAACCCGACAGACUCCACCGGCCAGAAUGAGCUCCAAGAAGUCACCAGCAAGGUUCAGACAGAGGCCCAGCAAUAGCACGACAGUCCUCCCUUAUCUGCCACUUCACUUCCUGUGGUUGGAGUCGCCUGUGGUCAGCCAAGGUCUGAGAAUGUCUGAUAGGUAAUUCCAGAAAUAAAUAACGUACAAGUUUUAACGUUCACUUAGAAAUUUUACUCCUGUAUAUUAUUAUCAUUCUUCUAUUCUAUUGUCAGUUAUUACUGUGAAUCACUUCAUGUGCAGAAUUUGUGCACUGUAUUUAUUAUUGCGGUUUAGGCUGAGAAUGUUCCCCCAGGCCCUUGUGUUUUUGGAUGGCGAAUGGAUCAAGAGGCUGCUUUGCUGAAUUGCUGAGUGCACUGUUGGAAGGUGGGGCCUGGUUACAGGCAGUCCCUGGGGUUGUGACCCGGAAGUGUUUAUCUCCCUCCUGGGCUCCUGCCUCUAGCUCUACUUCCUGGCCGCCAUGAUGUGAGCAGCUUUCCUCUGCUAUGCCUCUCUGCCAGGCUGUUUCUGCCCUGGAGCCAGCCAACCAUGGACUGUAACCAUGAGCCAAAACAAUCUCUCUCCUCCUUUAAGUUGUGGGUGGCAGGUGUUGUAUCUCUCAGCAAUGAGAAAGUGACUGAGACAUGUAUGUACAGUGUGAUAGGAAAAAUGUGGUAUAUAUGGGGGUUGGUACUAUCCACCGGGUGUCUUGGAAUGUGGCCCCUGUGAAUCAGGGGGACCCUGCAGCAAAAAUGGACACAAUCCAUUCACAGCAGGGUCUCCUUUGAUGGCAACCCGGCAGGUCAUGAGACAGGAAUCCCUAGCACCACCAGAGGGGUGGUGUCACUGCGGUCCCAUUUCAGAGUUUGGGAGAAUCAGGGAG
ensembl:lncRNA